rnacentral:rRNA from 1 species
CUACGGGGGGCACCAGUGGGGAAUAUUGCACAAUGGGCGAAAGCCUGAUGCAGCAACGCCGCGUGGAGGAUGACACAUUUCGGUGCGUAAACUCCUUUUAUAUAAGAAGAUAAUGACGGUAUUAUAUGAAUAAGCACCGGCUAACUCCGUGCCAGCAGCCGCGGUAAUACGGGGGGUGCAAGCGUUACUCGGAAUCACUGGGCGUAAAGAGCAUGUAGGCUGGAUGACAAGUUGGAAGUGAAAUCCUAUGGCUUAACCAUAGAACUGCUUCCAAAACUGUCUUCCUAGAGUAUGGGAGAGGUAGAUGGAAUUUCUGGUGUAGGGGUAAAAUCCGUAGAGAUCAGAAGGAAUACCGAUUGCGAAGGCGAUCUACUGGAACAUUACUGACGCUCAGAUGCGAAAGCGUGGGGAGCAAACAGGAUUAGAUACCCGGGUAGUC